CUUUUCUAGGGCCGCUCCCAUGGCAUAUGGAGGUUCCCAGGCUAGGGGUCGAAUCGGAGCUGUAGCUGCCGGCCUACGCCAGAGCCACAGCAAUGCGGGAUCCUAGCCGCAUCUGCAACCUACACCACAGCUCAGGGCAAUGCCGGAUCCUUAACCCACUGAGCAAGGCCAGGGAUCGAACCCACAACCUCAUGGUUCCUAGUCGGAUUCAUUAACCACUGCGCCACGACGGGAAUUCCCCUGGGUUUUAUCAACAAGCAAUAGAAGUUUUUGACUUUUCCUUUUCAAAUGAUGUCAUCACAACCUAAUGUGGUAAUGGAAGAUAAUUCAUCUCGCUGAGUCUCAAUUUCCUUGUUUUUAAAUGGAUAUAAUAGCACAGAGAUACAGAAGAGAUGUUAGGCUAAGAGACAGCAUAGGUGAAAAGGCCUAGCCCUUCAUAAGAGAUGGAAAAUAAUUCUGUUCCUUUCCUGUUUGUCAAAUGUAUGAUUAAUUGGGUUUCUUAGGAAAUCUUUUAAAAGCACAAAUAAUGCUAUAGCUAAACUGUUUCAAACUAGUUUGCUUACAUGCUGGAACUCUAUUUUCUAUUUACUUAAUUCCAACUGACAGCAAAGUUUCCGCUAUUUGAAAAACUAUCUUUGCUCCACAGGCCACAGGCGUAAGCUCUCUUGGGAAUGCUUGCCAGAAGGCUAACUAAAACAGAAAAAGAGUAUCUUUUAAACAAGCUCUCUGGUGAAGUGGGAUGGAGUGAGUUUCAAUUCACUCCGGGAAGUUAUUUGGAACUCUUCUGCUAGAGGCUUGCUUGAGUGGCAGCCACUCCACUUUCUUAUCUACUUCUCAUCUCCUUGACUACUCAAGGGAUAAAGAUUAGCAGCUGAGCUACUGCUAUUUAGUAAAAGAUGCCAUUCAUAAUAUCAUUAGAGUACACAACUAUUUUAUUUAUAUAUAAUUUCCCAAGAAACUAACUACAGGCUUGCCCUGACUUGUAUGGGAUUUGGAGAAGGAAUAUUAGAGUAAAACUUGCAAUUCUAAAGCACUUUUAGUAACAUGACACUUUACACAAUGGGAAGCUAUGAAGAGAAGCACCACUUACAAACUGUGUAUCCUUGGAUCAGUUACUUAAUCUCUGUGCCUCAGUUUCCUCAUCUAUAAAAAAGGAACAAUAACUGUACUUAACUUUAAUCAAUGAGAUAAUCCAAAUAAAGAGGUUAGCCCAGAGCCCAAUACAAAUUAAUGGCUCGAAAUAGACAAGAUAUUAUUGUUUUAUCUUUGCAGAGAAAGGCAAACAUGCUUAGAAAGCCUGCACAACAAAUUUACCUUUAAAGUGGCAAGCACCAGGGAUUUCAAUUUUAACAAUUUGUUUCAUGGUCUCAGUGGAAACUUAGGCAGAAGAGUACUUAUUAGUCAGAGAAUAUUUAUUCCGGUUUUCCAUAUGGCUAACAGUGGUGGGCCAACAGUGGAUACAAAAAUAAUAUUUGCCUGAUAAACAACAAUUGGGCCUUGUUUAGAAUUUUAUUUUUAUAUUAUAGAAUCUUACAUAGAAAUUAAGGGAAACUACUUCUAAUAACUGAGUAUCACGGCAUUUCCACAACCGAUAAAGCAGAAAUCAAUGCUUUUAGAUUUCUCUUUGGGUUUAAGCAACGAUCUACUUCAACUAGAAUUUUAUAUGUCAUUUAGUCAAUUACUGUUUUACAAUCCUAAAUUCUCGAACUGAAGUAAUCAGUGGCUUUUCUUGGCAAGAUGCCUACAUAUGUAACAUGAACUUCCAGUCUAAUGUCACAUAAGCCCUUGGCAGUUAUCUGUGUUCUGUGAAGUCAGCAAGUAUGGAACUGCCAAAACCCUAUUUCCCUCCAAGGAAACAAUGUAACCACCCCACAGCCAGACAUUGGUGUCAAUGCUCGGGUUUAGAAGGAAGGUCAGCACUAGAUUAGCUGACAUCUGUGGAAGCAACAACAGCUCCUUCUUUCAAUCUCUUCAAACGCAGCAUCUCUAGUUUUGUACAGAGCAUCUGUAAUGACAAGUACUGCUGGUAACACUUGAACACCUCUGGCUGCUGAGAGAAGCAGUAUGAAUUUGACUAUCAAAUGAGUUUCCAACCAGGGUCCUCAAUGAACCAAGAACCGACAUAAGAGAAUUGGGAGACAGAGGCUCUACUCACUAAAGACCGCUUUUCUUGCCUCAUAAGACAAGAGGAAUUGCUGACAAUUCACACACGAAGCCUGUUCAAACGAGAUGAAGAGAAGCAAUGAAAAUAUACAGUGGACCCUUGACCAACCCACAUGAACUGCCAGGAUCCACUGAUAGGCAAAUUUCGUUCACUAAAUAUAUACGACAGUACUACAGGACACGGCGGAAUCGAGGGAUGUGCAACAGCAGAUACGGAAAUGCCGACUAUAAAAUGACACAGGGAUAAUCAACUGUGCAGGAUGGUGCUCCAACCCCCAUGUUGUUCAAAAGGCAACAUACUGCUUCUAUGUGCAAGACAUCAUUGCCGAAUUUACUUCCUCCCUUACUCACUUUGCACAAAAACAUCACUGCAUCCGUCGACUGAAGAAUGGCUAGACAACAUGGUAUAUCCACACAAGAGAGUAUAAUCUGACAAUAAAAACAAACAAUCUACUGAUACAUGUCAUAACAUGGAUGAAACCUUGAAGAUAUUAUGCUAAUACGUGAAGGGAGACACUAAGCGGGAUAUACUGUAAGAUUCCAUUUACACAUCCUGCGGAGGACAGGCAAAUCCACAGAAACAGAAAGUAGAUUAGUAGUUGCCUAGAGCUGGGCAAAUUAGGGGAGGGAAUGGGAAGUGACUCCUAUCGGUUUCUUUGUGGGGUGACAAAAUGUUCUAAACCUGAUUGUCGUGCCAGCUGCCUAACCGUGAAUAUACUAAAGCCACUCUACACAUUAAGUUGCUGAAUUUUAUGGUAUGUGAAAUAUAUAUCAUAAAGAUAUCUCUAAAAACUGUGAAACAGGCAUCAUUAACGUUAUUUUUAGACAAGGGAAACAAAUUUCAGAAACAGGAGAGCAGAGACUUAGAAAACCAGGUAAGCUGACUUCAAAUACCAAGUUUUUGAACUAUACUCUAUUGCUUUUCCAAAUACUCAGGAUGCUGAAAAAAGGGUACAGGUCUAAAAUCCAUGGGACCCUUUCAUCAAAGUAGAUGGCUUUGCAGUCAUCAAACUUCCCCCAUGACCACCAUGUCUAUUCUCUUCAGUAUCUACUUCCACUUGGAUAUCAUGAAAUCUCAUCUGUAAGAAUGAGAACAGAGCAUGGUCACAGACUUUAACAAAAGAAAUGCCUCCGUACAAAAAGUUUCACCAAACAAAACAGUGCCUUUCUAAAUACUCAACUCAGAAAAUCUAAAAAGCUACCAAAAGAGUUUUUCCCAAGCGAUUAAAAGGGGGAGGAGCAACAUGAACAAAGUGGGUGAGCAUCUCAUUCAGGUCAGGUCCAGCAGCCCCCAGUUCCCUCUUUCUGUAACUCAGGUACUUACCCAAAACUCAAAGACAAUGUACCCCGCCCACGUGAUUUUUAAAAUACUAUAGCCUAAACACAAACCCCUUCUAUAGUCUUUGACAUAGAAAAAAAAAUUUUUUUUAAAUAAUGCACAUGAGUCCAAUCACAGAAACAGCCCACCUGAAAGAAGUCCUGAAUAUACUCCAGUGGUCGGGAUCUAAGAACACACCACCUUUCUUUUUCUUUCUUACUGGUGGCAUAUCAAAGUCUACGGGUCAAACCAAAGCUGCAGCUGCCAGCCUAUGCCACAACUGCAGCCACACCAGAUCCGUCUGAGCUGCAUCUGUGACCUACACCACAGCUGGCAGCAAAGCCAGAUCCAUAACCCACUGAGCGAGGCCAGGGAUGGAACCGGCAUCCUCGGGGACACUAGGUCGGGUUCUUAACCCACUAAGCCACAAUGGGAAUGCCCACGCCACCUUUUUCAAUUUGCCUGAACCUGACCCCAAGCAGAUAUGUAAAGUUGAGUUUUGUCACUCAGAACAACAACAACAACAAAAAGCAUGUUUUAAAAGACUAGUCUAUAGACUUUCUAGUAAUUACAGCUCAAUGAAGGAAUUAUUCUUAGAGAGUUGAGGUCAACAUUUCAAGUCAAUUUCAAUUCCAUGCCAUCUCUGUGGAAGAACUGUUACAGGGGGCAUGCUCUUCCCCAGACAUCACAGUCUGGUUUUGAUACUCACACUUCCAACCAACCACCUCCAGUGUUCUUCACUUGAGUUAUCUGAGCCUUCAUUUUUAAUCUAUAAAACUACAUGAGCCGGAGAACCCCUGACUCCUUUGUCCAGGAUGAGAUGCUUACCCAUUCCAAAAAAAAACCCAAGUAUGCAAAACAGCUGUCACUCAGCACCUUCACAUCACCAGGUCACUCAUUCUGACAGAGGAGUCAUACGUUUCUCCCUCAGGGAGUACCACCCAUUACUUUACUUACUGAAACCUUCCUCAAAAUAACAUGUGCCUUGUCAUUUUCCCUCUAAGAAUGAGUGUGUGUACCUAUAGGUUAAUCUACCUAUAUACUUCCUCACUCUUCGGGGCUCUUUUGAUUGUUGUCUCUCCACUUGGUCUCUUACAUGCUGUUUCGUCCAUUCCCGCUGCUAUAACAGAAUACCACAGACUGCAUAGCUUAUAAACAACAAGCACUGAUGAUUUCUCACAGUUCUGAAGGCUGGGAAGUUCAAGAUCAAGGUGCCAGCAAGACUGCAUUUUGGGGAGGGCCUUCUUCUAGGCCGCAGGCUUCUUGGUGCAUUCCCACAUGCCGGAAGGGGCCAAGGGAUCUCUUCAGAGCUUCUUUCAUAAGGCAGGUAUCCUACACACGAGGGUUCCAUUCAUGACUUAAGCACCUCUCAAAGUCUGCCACCUACUAACCCUACACCUUUGGGGUUAGGAUUUCAUCGUACGAAUUCUGAAAAGAGCUUACCUAUUUUUUCUUGAUAAAUGGACAGUUUGUUCUCUUUCAAACCCAUAAUUAAAAUCCUCCCAUGCAGUUGGUGUUCAGACAAUAAAAAUGACACAUGAAUUGAAAAUCCUGAUCCCUAAGGAAAGAUGAUAACUUAAAGAGAAAUGUUUACUGUAACAGGAAUCAGUAUUACUGGUAUUUAAUAAAUGGCUAUGACAGAAAAAUACACAUACUAAUACUUCCUACAUGGCAUAAAAACUGGUUGUAGGCAUUUUAGAAUAAUAGUAAAUUCGCCAAUGUACCUCCCAACCACAUAAUGAUUUUGAGGCUACACAACUCUGCCUUUGAAAAUAAACUGUUAUAAGAAGAUGUGAGAGAGAGACCAAGAGUCCUUCAUUCAGGCUGAGAGAUGAAGAUACACUUGAAAAUAAUGAAAGCUGGUUUCUACAGAAACCCUAUGAUGCGUUAGGCACUGUUCUAAGGACAACACACAUAAGAGCCAAGUUAAUCUUUACUAG
ensembl:lncRNA